rnacentral:rRNA from 1 species
GACGAACGCUGGCGGCGUGCCUAACACAUGCAAGUCGAACGGAAAGGCCCUGCUUUUGUGGGGUGCUCGAGUGGCGAACGGGUGAGUAACACGUGAGUAACCUGCUCUUGACUUUGGGAUAACUUCAGGAAACUGGGGCUAAUACCGGAUAGGAGCUCCUGCUGCAUGGUGGGGGUUGGAAAGUUUGGGCGGUUGGGGAUGGACUCGCGGCUUAUCAGCUUGUUGGUGGGGUAGUGGCUUACCAAGGCUUUGACGGGUAGCCGGCCUGUGAGGGUGACCGGCCACAUUGGGACUGAGAUACGGCCCAGACUCCUACGGGGGGCAGCAGUGGGGAAUAUUGCACAAUGGGCGGAAGCCUGAUGCAGCAACGCCGCGUGCGGAAUGACGGCCUUCGGGUUGUAAACCGCUUUCGCCUGUGACGAAGCGUGAGUGACGGUAAUGGGUAAAGAAGCACCGGCUAACUACGUG